rnacentral:rRNA from 1 species
UUAAAAAAAUAAAUAAAGUUAAGGCGCAUAGUGGAUGCCUCGACUUCUGCUUCCGAUGAAGGACGUUGUAGACGACGAUAACUUCGGCGAGUUGUCAAACAAGCAUUGACCCGGAGAUUUCCGAAUGGGGAAACCCAGUAAGAGUAAUGUCUUAUUACUUCCGUUUGAAAAAAUAAGGCGGAUAGAGGAAACGUAGUGAACUGAAACAUCUAAGUAACUACGGAAAAUAAAUCAAACGAGAUUCCCUGAGUAGUGGCGAACGAAACGGGAAAAGCCCAAACCUGUCUUCGGACAGGGGUUGUAGGACCUCAACAUCUAGUAUAAUUUUAUAGGAGAACGAUUUGGAAAAGUCGGCUAUAAAGGGUGAAAGCCCCGUAUCUGAAAUUAAAUUAUACCGGUAGAGUGUUCCUGAGUAGGUUCGGACACGUGAAAUCCGGAUUGAAUCUGGGGGGACCACCCUCCAAGGCUAAACAGAGCAGAAGAUCGAUAGUGUACAAGUACCGUGAGGGAAAGGUGAAAAGUAUCCCGGGAGGGAGGUGAAAUAGUUCCUGAAACUAUGUGCUGUCAAAGAGUAGGAGCCCACUUGAUGGGUGACUGCGUGCUUUUUGUAGAACGAGCCAACGAGUUAGCUGUAUGUAGCAAGGUUAAGGGGGAAACACCCGGAGCCGAAGCGAAAGCGAGUCUUAAUAGGGCGAAUAAGUUACAUGCACUAGACCCGAAACCAGGUGAGCUUACCAUGGGCAGGUUGAAGCAGUAGUAAAAUACUGUGGAGGACCGCACCAGUACGUGUUGCAAGACGUUUGGAUGACCUGUGGUAGGAGGUAAAAUGCUAAUCGAACCUGGAGAUAGCUGGUUCUCUCCGAAAUAGCUUUAGGGCUAGCCUCAAGAUUUAAUCUAGGGGGGUAGAGCUCUGUUAAGACUAGGGCCCUUGUCCAGGGUACCAACUCUUGACAAACUUCGAAUACCCUUUUGUACAUCUUGGGAGUCAGACUGCGACAGCUAAGUGCCGUAGUCGCAAGGGAAACAGCCCAGACCCACAGCUAAGGUCCCUAAUAUAUACUAAGUGGAAAAGGAAGUAAGAUCACUUAAACAGCCAGGAGGUUGGCUUAGAAGCAGCCAUUCCUUUAAAGAGUGCGUAACAGCUCACUGGUCGAUGUGAUUUUGCGCCGAAAAAGUAACGGGGCUAAGUAUAUAACCGAAGCUUGGGAUUUCAUCAUUUAUGAUGGAGUGGUAGGAGAGCGUUCGUAUCUGCGUUGAAGUCAGACCGUGAGGUCUGGUGGAGUGAUACGAAGUGAGAAUGUUGGCAUGAGUAAGUAAAAUCUUAGUGAAAAACUAAGACACCGCAAGACCAAGGUUUCCCACGCAACGAUAAUCGACGUGGGGUUAGUCGGUCCUAAGGCGAGGCCGAAAGGCGUAGUCGAUGGACAACAGGUUAAUAUUCCUGUACUAGUAAGUUUUUGUUUGACGUAUGGAGUGACGGAGUAUGGUAGUGAGAGCCGGCGAAUGAAUGUCGGUGUAAGUGUCUAGGCGUUGAUGGCUGGAGAAAACAGCUUGAGCAGAAGCACGAUGCCGAUUGCCGAAACGAAAGUUUUGGUGAGUCUCGCGACCCAAACUUCCAAGAAAACCUUCAUAUUAGAUACUUACUAUCCGUACCGCAAACCAACGCAGGUGGUCGAGUCGAGUAGACUCAGGUGUUCGGGAAAACUAGCGUAAAGGAACUCGGCAAAAGAGCGUCCGUAACUUCGGGAUAAGGACUUCUCUCGUUUAUUCGAGAGGCACAGUAAAAGAGCCCAGGCGACUGUUUAUCAAAAACACAGGUCUCUGCUAACUCUACAAGAGGAAGUAUAGGGGCUGACCCCUGCCCGGUGCCAGAAGGUUAAGAGGAGGUGUGCAAGCAUCGAAUUGAAGCCCUGGUGAACGGCGGCCGUAACUAUAACGGUCCUAAGGUAGCGAAAUUCCUUGUCGGGUAAGUUCCGACCCGCACGAAUGGGGUAACGAUCUGGGCACUGUCUCUACGCUAGACCCGCUGAAAUUGCAGUAUCGGUAAAAAUGCCGAUUAACCACGGUUAGACGGAAAGACCCUAUGGAGCUUUACUACAGCCUGAUGUUGAUUUUCGGAAUAUAAUGUGUAGGAUAGGUGGGAGACUUUGAAGCAAAGACGCUAGUUUUUGUGGAGUCAUCCUUGAAAUACCACCCUUUAUAUUUUGCAAAUCUAACCUGCACCCUUAUCGGGUGAAUACAGGAACAGCGUUUGGUGGGUAGUUUAACUGGGGCGGUUGCCUCCUAAAGAGUAACGGAGGCGCGCAAUGGUUAGCUUAGUCCGGAUGGAAAUCGGACUGGACGUGUAUUCGCGUAAGCUAGCUUGACUGAGAGACUGACAGGUCGAACAGGUGCGAAAGCAGGUGAAAGUGAUCCGGCACCUUCCGAGUGGAAGGGGUGUCGCUCAUCGGAUAAAAGUUACCCUAGGGAUAACAGGCUGAUUUCUUCCAAGAGUUCAUAUCGACGAAGAAGUUUGGCACCUCGAUGUCGGCUCAUCGCAUCCUGGGGGUGGAGAAGCUCCCAAGGGUAUGGCUGUUCGCCAUUUAAAGCGGUACGUGAGCUGGGUUCAGAACGUCGUGAGACAGUUUGGCCCCUAUCUGCCGUGGUCGUUUGGAUAAUUGAGAAGGCUUGUUCCUAGUACGAGAGGACCGGAAUGAACGAACCUCUAGUGUAUCUAUUGUACCUGUCAAGGGCAUUGUAGAGUAGCUACGUUCGGAAGAGAUAACCGCUGAAAGCAUCUAAGCGGGAAGCUUGCUUCGAGAUAAAUUAUCCCUAUUGAACUCCCUCGAAGACUACGAGGUUGAUAGGUCACAGAUGUAAGCACAGUGAUGUGUUCAGUCGAGUGAUACUAAUGAGUCAUUGUAUUUAUUUUUU